GACGAACGCUGGCGGCGUGCUUAACACAUGCAAGUCGUACGGUAAGGCCCUUUCGGGGGUCCACGAGUGGCGAACGGGUGAGUAACACGUGAGUAACCUGCCCACAACUUUGGGAUAACGCUAGGAAACUGGUGCUAAUACUGGAUAUGUGCUCCUGCUGCAUGGUGGGGGUUGGAAAGCUCCGGCGGUUGUGGAUGGACUCGCGGCCUAUCAGCUUGUUGGUGGGGUAGUGGCCUACCAAGGCGGCGACGGGUAGCCGGCCUGAGAGGGUGACCGGCCACAUUGGGACUGAGAUACGGCCCAGACUCCUACGGGAGGCAGCAGUGGGGAAUAUUGCACAAUGGGCGCAAGCCUGAUGCAGCAACGCCGCGUGCGGGAUGACGGCCUUCGGGUUGUAAACCGCUUUCAGCAGGGACGAAGCCUUUUGUGACGGUACCUGCAGAAGAAGCACCGGCUAACUACGUG
rnacentral:rRNA from 1 species